rnacentral:rRNA from 1 species
GACGAACGCUGGCGGCGUGCUUAACACAUGCAAGUCGAACGGAAAGGCCCUGCUUUUGUGGGGUGCUCGAGUGGCGAACGGGUGAGUAACACGUGAGUAACCUGCCCUUGACUUUGGGAUAACUUCAGGAAACUGGGGCUAAUACCGGAUAGGAGCUCCUGCUGCAUGGUGGGGGUUGGAAAGUUUCGGCGGUUGGGGAUGGACUCGCGGCUUAUCAGCUUGUUGGUGGGGUAGUGGCUUACCAAGGCUUUGACGGGUAGCCGGCCUGCGAGGGUGACCGGCCACAUUGGGACUGAGAUACGGCCCAGACUCCUACGGGAGGCAGCGGUGGGGAAGAUUGCACAAUGGGCGGAAGCCUGAUGCAGCAACGCCGCGUGCGGGAUGACGGCCUUCGGGUUGUAAACCGCUUUCGCCUGUGACGAGGCGUGAGUGACGGUAAUGGGUAAAGAAGCACCGGCUAACUACGUG